UACGUAGGUGGCAAGCGUUGUCCGGAUUUAUUGGGUUUAAAGGGUGCGUAGGCGGCCUAUUAAGUCAGUGCUGAAAUAUCCCGGCUUAACCGGGAGGGUGGCAUUGAUACUGAUGGGCUUGAGUUCAGUCGAGGUAGGCGGAAUUGACGGUGUAGCGGUGAAAAUGCUUAGAUAUCGUCAAGAACACCGAUAGUGUAGACAGCUUACUAGGCUGAAACUGACGCUGAGGCACGAAAGUGUGGGGAUCAAACAGG
rnacentral:rRNA from 1 species